UACGAAGGGGGCUAGCGUCGCUCGGAAUCACUGGGCGUAAAGCGCACGUAGGCGGAUCUUUAAGUCAGGGGUGAAAUCCUGGAGCUCAACUCCAGAACUGCCUUUGAUACUGGGGAUCUCGAGUCCGGAAGAGGUGAGUGGAACUCCGAGUGUAGAGGUGAAAUUCGUAGAUAUUCGGAAGAACACCAGUGGCGAAGGCGGCUCACUGGUCCGGUACUGACGCUGAGGUGCGAAAGCGUGGGGAGCAAACAGG
rnacentral:rRNA from 1 species